AACGCACAUUGCGCCCAUUAGUAUUCUAUUGGGCAUGCCUGUUCGAGCGUCAUUUCAACCCUCAAGCCCUGUAGCUUGGCGUUGGGAGCCUGCGGAGACGCAGCUCCUCAAAGUUAGUGGCGGAGUCAGUACACUCUAGGCGUAGUAAUUACCACCUCGCCUCUGUAGCUGUGCCGGCGCCCUGCCGUAAAACACCCCAACUCUAAAUGGUUGACCUCGGAUCAGGUAGGAAUACCCGCUGAACUUAA
rnacentral:misc_RNA from 1 species